GCAAUACUUGCCCAACGACCACUACAGUAACGUCAUACAAACUUAUGCUAGACUGGCAGCAUGUUCAACUCCAGAUACAGUCCACAAAUAAAUAUCCCACUGUGCCAGUCCAAGCCUGGUUAGCAUUCAAAGUACAGGCCACCAGCAAAUGCACAGAGUAACAAAAUCUCUGAACAAUUUCUGCUUGCAACCUUAGACCUGCAGUGACAACAGACAUUCCAAUGGGUCUUUUGCUAUUUUAUCCUUCAGAAGUAUAGUUAGCUGUUACAUGUCACAUAAGCAAUUGUCUUCCUGCCACCCUUUCCAGCCCUCCCAUGGUU